rnacentral:rRNA from 1 species
UGGAUGGGUAUAACCUCGGGAAACUGAGAAUAAUUCCCAAUAGAUCAUUUAUCCUGGAAUGGUUAGUGAUUGAAAUGAUUCGUCGCCAUAGGAUAGGACUGCGGCCUAUCAGCUUGUUGGUGAGGUAAAGGCCCACCAGGGCUAUUACAGGUACGGGCUCUGAGAGGAGAAGCCCGGAGAUGGGUACUGAGACACGGACCCAGGCCCUAUGGGGCGCAGCAGGCGAGAAAACUUUGCAAUGUGCGAAAGCACGACAAGGUUAAUCCGAGUGGUUUCUGCUAAAGAAAUCUUUUGCCAGUUCUAAAAAUACUGGUGAAUAAGGGGUGGGCAAGUUCUGGUGUCAGCCGCCGCGGUAAAACCAGCACCUCAAGUUGUCAGGAGGAUUAUUGGGCCUAAAGCAUCCGUAGCCGGCUC